ACACAUGCAAGUCGAACGGUAACAGGUCUUCGGAUGCUGACGAGUGGCGAACGGGUGAGUAAUACAUCGGAACGUGCCUAGUAGUGGGGGAUAACUACUCGAAAGAGUAGCUAAUACCGCAUGAGAUCUACGGAUGAAAGCAGGGGACCUUCGGGCCUUGUGCUACUAGAGCGGCUGAUGGCAGAUUAGGUAGUUGGUGGGGUAAAGGCUUACCAAGCCUGCGAUCUGUAGCUGGUCUGAGAGGACGACCAGCCACACUGGGACUGAGACACGGCCCAGACUCCUACGGGAGGCAGCAGUGGGGAAUUUUGGACAAUGGGCGAAAGCCUGAUCCAGCAAUGCCGCGUGCAGGAUGAAGGCCCUCGGGUUGUAAACUGCUUUUGUACGGAACGAAAAGCCUGGGGCUAAUAUCCCCGGGUCAUGACGGUACCGUAAGAAUAAGCACCGGCUAACUACGUGCCAGCAGCCGCGGUAAUACGUAGGGUGCAAGCGUUAAUCGGAAUUACUGGGCGUAAAGCGUGCGCAGGCGGUUUUGUAAGACAGUGGUGAAAUCCCCGGGCUCAACCUGGGAACUGCCAUUGUGACUGCAAGGCUAGAGUGCGGCAGAGGGGGAUGGAAUUCCGCGUGUAGCAGUGAAAUGCGUAGAUAUGCGGAGGAACACCGAUGGCGAAGGCAAUCCCCUGGGCCUGCACUGACGCUCAUGCACGAAAGCGU
rnacentral:rRNA from 1 species